rnacentral:rRNA from 1 species
UACGGAGGGUGCAAGCGUUAUCCGGAUUCACUGGGUUUAAAGGGUGCGUAGGCGGACAGGUAAGUCAGUGGUGAAAUCUCUGGGCUUAACCCAGAAACUGCCGUUGAUACUAUUUGUCUUGAAUAUCCUGGAGGUAGGCGGAAUAUGUCAUGUAGCGGUGAAAUGCUUAGAUAUGACAUAGAACACCAAUUGCGAAGGCAGCUUACUACAGGGAUAUUGACACUGAGGCACGAAAGCGUGGGGAUCAAACAGG